rnacentral:rRNA from 1 species
UACGUAGGGUGCAAGCGUUGUCCGGAAUUAUUGGGCGUAAAGAGCUCGUAGGCGGCUUGUCGCGUCGACUGUGAAAACCCGCGGCUCAACUGCGGGCCUGCAGCCGAUACGGGCAGACUAGAGUGCGGUAGGGGAGAUUGGAAUUCCUGGUGUAGCGGUGGAAUGCGCAGAGAUCCGGAGGAACCCCAGAGGCGAAGGCGGCGCUCUGGCUCGCAACUGACGCUCAGACACGACAGCAUGGGGAGCGAACGGG